AUCCUUUCAUAGUUCAAAAGCAUGAUGAUUGGGUUUUCAUGAGCAUGAAUGAGAUGUGCCUCCCACAAAUUUUGUUACAGCAUCAGCACAUUACCCACCUGACA
ensembl:snoRNA